GUACGACGGAGCACGUGAAAUUCCGUCGGAAUCUGGGAGGACCAUCUCCUAAGGCUAAAUACUCUCUAGUGACCGAUAGUGAACCAGUACCGUGAGGGAAAGGUGAAAAGCACCCCGGAAGGGGAGUGAAAUAGAACCUGAAACCGUGUGCUUACAAGUAGUCAGAGCCCGUUAAUGGGUGAUGGCGUGCCUUUUGUAGAAUGAACCGGCGAGUUACGAUUUGAUGCAAGGUUAAGCAGUAAAUGUGGAGCCGUAGCGAAAGCGAGUCUGAAUAGGGCGUUUAGUAUUUGGUCGUAGACCCGAAACCAGGUGAUCUACCCUUGGUCAGGUUGAAGUUCAGGUAACACUGAAUGGAGGACCGAACCGACUUACGUUGAAAAGUGAGCGGAUGAACUGAGGGUAGCGGAGAAAUUCCAAUCGAACCUGGAGAUAGCUGGUUCUCUCCGAAAUAGCUUUAGGGCUAGCCUCAAGUGAUGAUUAUUGGAGGUAGAGCACUGUUUGGACGAGGGGCCCCUCUCGGGUUACCGAAUUCAGACAAACUCCGAAUGCCAAUUAAUUUAACUUGGGAGUCAGAACAUGGGUGAUAAGGUCCGUGUUCGAAAGGGAAACAGCCCAGACCACCAGCUAAGGUCCCAAAAUAUAUGUUAAGUGGAAAAGGAUGUGGCGUUGCCCAGACAACUAGGAUGUUGGCUUAGAAGCAGCCAUCAUUUAAAGAGUGCGUAAUAGCUCACUAGUCGAGUGACACUGCGCCGAAAAUGUACCGGGGCUAAACAUAUUACCGAAGCUGUGGAUUGUCCUUUGGACAAUGGUAGGAGAGCGUUCUAAGGGCGUUGAA
rnacentral:rRNA from 1 species